UUGGAGGGCAAGUCUGGUGCCAGCAGCCGCGGUAAUUCCAGCUCCAAUAGCGUAUAUUAAAGUUGUUGCAGUUAAAAAGCUCGUAGUUGAAUUUCGGGGUCAGUAGGCUGGUCGUGCCUCAGGUACGUACUGGUCUUACUGAUUCCUCCUUCCUGACGAACCGUAAUGCCAUUAAUUUGGUGUUGCGGGGAAUCUGGACUGUUACUUUGAAAAAAUUAGAGUGUUUAAAGCAGGCUAACGCUUGAAUACAUUAGCAUGGAAUAAUGAAAUAGGACGAUCGAUCCUAUUUUGUUGGUUUCUAGGAUUGACGUAAUGAUUAAUAGGGAUAGUUGGGGGCAUUAGUAUUCAAUUGUCAGAGGUGAAAUUCUUGGAUUUAUUGAAGACUAACUACUGCGAAAGCAUUUGCCAAGGAUGUUUUCAUUAAUCAAGAACGAAAGUUAGGGGAUCGAAGACGAUCAGAUACCGUUGUAGUCUUAACCAUAAACUAUGCCGACUAGGGAUCGGAUGACGUUAAUUUUUUAAUGACUCAUUCGGCGCCUUACGGGAAA
rnacentral:rRNA from 1 species